rnacentral:rRNA from 1 species
ACGGGAGGCAGCAGUGGGGAAUAUUGGGCAAUGGGCGAAAGCCUGACCCAGCGACGCCGCGUGAGGGAAGAAGGUCUUCGGAUUGUAAACCUUAGUCAACAGGGAAGAAGCAAGUGACGGUACCUGUGGAGGAAGCCACGGCUAACUACGUGCCAGCAGCCGCGGUAAUACGUAGGUGGCGAGCGUUAUCCGGAUUUACUGGGUGUAAAGGGUGCGCAGGCGGCCCGUUAAGUCAGCGGUGAAAUGUCGGGGCUCAACCCGGGCACUGCCGUUGAAACUGGGGGGCUUGAGUACGGAUGAGGUCGGCGGAAUGUGACGUGUAGCGGUGAAAUGCAUAGAUAUGUCACAGAACACCGAUUGCGAAGGCAGCCGGCCAAUCCGCAACUGACGCUCAUGCACGAAAGCGUGGGGAUCGAACAGGAUUAGAUACCCUGGUA